GCUUUGCUGUGGCUCAGUUAAUAGAGCAUUGCAGUAACAACACAAAGUUCAUGGGUUCAAAUCCCAGGGAAAGCA